rnacentral:rRNA from 1 species
AACGAACGCUGGCGGCAUGCCUAACACAUGCAAGUCGAACGAAGUCUUCGGACUUAGUGGCGCACGGGUGCGUAACGCGUGGGAAUCUGCCCUUGGGUGCGGAAUAACUUCUCGAAAGGGAUGCUAAUACCGCAUAAUGUCGUAAGACCAAAGAUUUAUCGCCCAAGGAUGAGCCCGCGUAAGAUUAGCUAGUUGGUGGGGUAAAAGCCUACCAAGGCGACGAUCUUUAGCUGGUCUGAGAGGAUGAUCAGCCACACUGGGACUGAGACACGGCCCAGACUCCUACGGGAGGCAACAGUGGGGAAUAUUGGACAAUGGGCGAAAGCCUGAUCCAGCAAUGCCGCGUGAGUGAUGAAGGCCCUAGGGUGUAAGCUCUUUUACCAGGGAUGAUAAUGACAGUACCUGGAGAAUAAGCUCCGGCUAACUCCGUGCCAGCAGCCGCGGUAAU